rnacentral:rRNA from 1 species
UGGGGAAUAUUGGACAAUGGGCGCAAGCCUGAUCCAGCCAUGCCGCGUGAGUGAUGAAGGCCUUAGGGUUGUAAUGCUCUUUUGGCGGGGACGAUAAUGACGGUACCCGCAGAAUAAGCCCCGGCUAACUUCGUGCCAGCAGCCGCGGUAAUACGAAGGGGGCUAGCGUUGUUCGGAAUUACUGGGCGUAAAGCGCACGUAGGCGGAUCAGCAAGUCAGGGGUGAAAUCCCGGGGCUCAACCUCGGAACUGCCUCUGAUACUGCUGGUCUGGAGUCCGGAAGAGGUGGGUGGAAUUCCUAGUGUAGAGGUGAAAUUCGCAGAUAUUAGGAAGAACACCGGUGGCGAAGGCGGCCCACUGGUCCGGUACUGACGCUGAGGUGCGAAAGCGUGGGGAGCAAACAGGAUUAGAUACCCGGGUAGUCCCUGAGCGGGCUGGCAAGGCGCAU